rnacentral:rRNA from 1 species
UACGUAGGUGGCAAGCGUUGUCCGGAAUUACUGGGCGUAAAGCGCGCGCAGGCGGACGUUAAGUAGGGCGUGAAAUCUCCCGGCCUAACUGGGAGGGGUCGCUCUAGACUGGGCGUCUUGAGGACUGCAGAGGUGGGUGGAAUUCCCAGUGUAGAGGUGAAAUUCGUAGAUAUUGGGAAGAACACCGGUGGCGAAGGCGGCUCACUGGCCCGUAACUGACGCUCAUGCACGACAGCGUGGGGGAUCAAACAGG